AAGAAAAUUACACCAUAUAUUUCGUUUGGAGUUUUAUCAGCAAAACUUUAACCUGACUAAACAACAUGACUUUUGGUAUAUAAAUCACUAACAUAUAUUCAGGUAGUUAAAAAAACAAAAAAAGAUACAAUGUCACAUAUAAGGUAUGUUUUAUUUGGACUGGCCGCGUAUACAACUAUUAUAGUGUUAGGGGAGCGUCUGGUGGAUUAUUAUGAUAGGAGAAACGCUUGUAGAGAAGCGAUUUACAUGAGGUUACUUCAGAGGGCGAUAACUAACCGUACGGAGCGGGCAGUCGAAGAGGCCAGGAUCGUUCGUGGCUGGAUCCGCCAUCCUCCAUCACGCCGGUAGAUGUUUGUUGAUGCAGAAGAGCCAUGACUAGCAAUCUUCAAAAUUAUUUUUGUUUAAAACAAGUUAAAUACAUUUUGUUUACGAAUAGACUUAUUAAAACAAUAA